CAGAGCCAAGAACCAAGUUGUUUGUCUGAGGCGUGAGGCCGUUAGGCCAAAGACCAACAGUUUGGAUCGAGGAUCGACAAAACGCAUUUUGCCCGAGAACACAGUCAAUAAAUCAUUAUGUGUUGCUAUCCCUUCUUAUUUACAUACAUGUAUCUUAUGCUGGCUUCCAUGAUGUAAGUUUUUUUUUUACCUGCACUGCGGUCCCACCAGCAGUGUGACGUAGCGGUCCAACAUCUCGUCGACUGGUCCAAUAUCUCAUUCUGCAGUCAAACAUUGAUUUUGUUUGACCGCUCAGUAAAACACUGGAAAUGUUAGACUUUUUUUAUUGUAGAUGUAUAUAGGAAACACUGUUUAAUGCUACGUUCCCAAUGUAUUGCGGUCUGUUACAAAAGCCACGAUUGAUCAUUCGUAGCUGAUAGCAGAGUUUUUAUUGAAAUUCGUUGCACUUUAAUGCGGUAUGGUCACGAUGGAUAAGUUUCAUGUGACGCGAUCUCUGACGAUCUGACUACCCGUUCAGAUAAGACGAAUUACGUUUCAAUAGGAUUAUCAAGAUUUCGUUGAAAAAAGAACCUCGAUCUGUUACAAAUAUGACGAUCCGAGUCCCCGAUUUGAAACGAUCUUCUACGUUUAAAUACGUACUCUUACGAUAUAAUACGUUCAUCACGCCCCGUUGCGCUACUUUGCGAUAGAACAACACGUUAAUUGCCAUGUCUUUCACGAUCAGAAGUUGAGGUUAAUAACAACGUGGUGUUUGCAGUGCUACUAUGUUCAUUGCUAUCGAAGAAGAGGAAGAAGAAGAAGAGAAACAGAUAGACCAUGUACAACCCCAUCAAAUAAGGGUUAAAAGAGCUGAUUGAACGGGUUCAUGUUCAGCAGGAGAUGGGAUCGCUCGCCUUUUUCUCUUUUUGCCCCUGUUUCCCUUGGGUGGCAUCUUCAAAAUAUUUUGCAAAACUGAUAUCUUGUUCCGAUCGGUGAAUGAAACGCGUUAAAUUUUGUCCGUUAUUUAAGUGAGUUUAAGAACUCGUAAGAUAGCGUAAUCGUCCGUGACAAAGCGUUAGCACUUGUAUCUAAUCGCGUUUACUCUCAUCUGUCCCUUUUAAAUCGUAUCUGAUCGGAAAUAAUUCGUGUCAACUCGUGAGUAGUAGGACCACGCAAAGUGUCACAGACAGUGACUGAACGUAAGACAUCCAAGGUCGAUCCGGAUGAUCACAAUAUGAAAGCCAGAUUAGAUGCGCUUACUUACGAUGCAGUUGAGGUUAGUUACGAUGCAAUACGGUCUGAUGCGAUGAUAACGACAGUCAAAAAAAUUUCACGAUCAACACGAUAGCCACGAGUGAACACAAGAUUUGUUACGGUUUGAUACGAUCACUACGAUUUGUCCACUUUUGAAUCCCCGAUUUCAAUCGUGGCGCCAAUCGUGAUAGUGGGAACGUAGCAUAAAGGUUUAACAAAUACAUGUUUAUACAUGUACAUAUAUGGGACGAGGCCAGAUAUCUGGAUAUAAACCGGUGUUGAUUAAUUAGUACACCCUCAUCACUUUCGCCGUUUUAUAUCGCACAGUGCGCUUUACAAAGGUCAUUGUUUUAGACUUACAAUGGAAAAGGUAAGUGUAAACAUUUGUUUUGCUUUAUUUUAAGAAUCAUGUGGUUAGUUAAACUGGUUAAGGGGGUUAGGGUGAUGAGGGGGUUAUUUCAUUUUCUAUAGCUUAUUUUAUGAUUUGCAAAUGCAUCAGUAUUUAUACAUAAGCCCAUAAAUACAACAAUAAAUUAACACUUUUGCAUUUGAUAUUCAUAUAAAUUUAAAGGAAUCUUAUACUCUAUAGGCCCAUAGGAAGUAAUUUCAGAAGGGGAGGGGGUCACAAACAUUUUCAGUUGGGGUAUGCGCUGCCAAGCAGAAAAAGGUUAUCAGGGGGCACAUGUGUAGUAUUUUCUAUAGUUGUUAUAUGUUGACAAAAUUACUUGGAAGGGGGCAAAACCCCCAUCCCAACCCCGGGUUUAUCAUGUUCAUAUGGUCAUUAGAUAUAUUGAAAAAAAAGGGGGGGUCAUGGAAUGUCUUCCCACUGUUCAUGAAUGAUUCAAUCACAAGCUCAAUUCAUCAACCAUCCUACAUAUAUAUACCAGAAUCAUUAAAUAAUGUUGAUCGAAUUAAAUGCUUAUCCAAUCAUCUGCGUUUGCCUAUCUGCUUUUGCAAUAGGUGUAUGGUUUAACUUAACUGGGAAAUAUGGGAACACAUCUUGAUAAAUAAAGGGACAGCUGUUCUACAAGCACAAAAGAGAACAGAAUUUACAUCAGAACAUGUGAAAAUGCUGGAAGAGGCCUAUGAACAGGGCAUGAGGAAAGGAAAAGUCUGGUUAAGUGGUCGUCAGGAAUUGGCAGUGAAAAUAAAUUUUACAGAAGUUCAAGUAAAGUACACAAAUGUGCAGAUCAUCCUGGCUUCAAUCCAUCAGUAUGGAAAAUAGUGCGGGAGGCUGAUUUGAGAGGAGAAAGAAAGAUGGCGAGAAAUAUGGCAGAAGAGGGAGGUACAUGUAAUGGUGUAGCAGAUGAGUGGUUCAGCCAAUAGAAGACCAUAAGAACCCUCUUGAAGCAACUGGAAUGGACUAGUAAGCAAUUUUAAAGUAUGGGUUUGCCAAAUUUUACCGUAGUAAUACUGCCGACGGUGUUGGAAUAGGGAGAGGUCGAGAAUUUCUUGAUCGUGAGGGUAUACAAUCAAAUUUUAGCCGAUUUUGUAUUCAAGACCUGGAUCAGGAGACAAUUUGGAAGAACAUUCUAUAAAUAAGUGUGUAGAAGGAAAAUCCAAUUGUGAUUAAGUUCAGUCACAUAAAAGAAAUCAGAAUAUUAUACUCCUAAGAAGUCAGAAGUCAAUGAGUUGCGAAAGACAGUUCAAGUUCAUAUGAAUGAAUUAUACAUAGAACCUAUAGAUUGAAAGUAUAUUAAAGAUUUGCAAAUUGGAGAACACUUUGUGCCAUUACCAGAGACGGACAAGGAGCCAGAGUGGGUCCAUGUGCAAACUCUCACAAAAGAUCAAAUAUUUGGUCUCCAGUAUGUGACAUUUGAAAGGGAAAAACAGCCACAGCCAAGCUUUGUGGUUAUCAGUAACGUAACGGGGCUGAGGUUGUCCAGAUCAGUCGUUCAUUGUUCCUUUCUAAGCGCGAUUUCAAUGCCAGAGAGAGGCUACGCAGUGAGAUUUCCCCGUAUCCAACAGAUGAGGAAUUACAACUAAAUCUAAUGACUCGUAUUAACUGGGAUUCCUAUAAGGAUAUAGUUCUUCAACAGUUUGUAAAUGACAAAUUCAGACCUAGACCAGCAACACAGACCAAUGAGAUUUAAGCUUACAAAAUCUUAUGUGGCAAAGUCUGUGUAUUCAUAAUUUAUGUGGCACGUACAUACAUGUAGAAUUUUGAAUGUGAUCAUUUGAUAUUGCAAGUAAAAUUGUAACUGGAUAGUACUUGUUGUAGAUUUUAAGGAAGCUCUAAGCACCGCACACUAAAGAGUUCUACUUGUAGGGUAGUUUUAUGCUGUUAGAGUAAUCUGCCCUUAGAAGUAAGAUAGAAAAAAAAAUGGUUAUUUACAAUUAAUUACACAAUUUGUAAAAAAUUAAAAUAUUCUCAGCAUUAUAUUAGACCAAGAUUAAGUAAUUGAAUUCAUUGUUUCCAUUAAUUUUCCCAAUGUAAGUAAACAACCGUGAUUUCUGUUCAUGAAUUGUCCAUUGAAUUUGAACAUUUUUCCUGCAGAAAUAAGGCGGAUAUCCUAUGUUGAAAAUGAACUAUUAGUAAAUAGUUUCAAUAUGCAUACCUUUAUAAUGGCUUUAUAUGACAUAUUUUUGUUCAAGUCUAAAAAGCACUUUUUGUUAGUGUUUAGAGCUUCCUUAACUUCUAAGAGUUGGCUUGCAAACCUCAAUGGAACAGAUUUAAUCCGACCCAGACUGCCAGACACACUGUGAACAGUUUGAUUUUGAUCUCCAUAUAAUAUUUUUAGUCGAGUUUCUUGAUCUGUUGUCAUGGAAUUUCAUUAAUGCAAUUGUGAAGUGUGAGACUUGUUUUGCUAACAGACAAAAAUAAAUGCACCACCCAGCGACGAAUUACACACAUAUAAUUACUUGAUUUACCAAUUAACCAUAUAGAUCGUUAAGCAUUCACCUUUGUUACAUGUACGAAUGAAAAUUAAAAUUUAUGAUUACUGAUAA